CCUACGGGAGGCAGCAGUGGGGGAUAUUGCACAAUGGGGGGAACCCUGAUGCAGCGACGCCGCGUGGGUGAAGAAGCGCCUCGGCGCGUAAAGCCCUGUCAGCAGGGAAGAAAAUGACGGUACUGAAGAAGAAGCCCCGGCUAACUACGUGCCAGCAGCCGCGGUAAUACGUAGGGGGCAAGCGUUAUCCGGAUUUACUGGGUGUAAAGGGGGCGCAGACGGCGAUGCAAGCCAGGAGUGAAAGCCCGGGGCCCAACCCCGGGACUGCUCUUGGAACUGCGUGGCGGGAGUGCAGGAGGGGCAGGGGGAAAUCCUGGUGGAGCGGUGAAAUGCGUAGAUAUCAGGAGGAAAACCGGUGGCGGAGGCGGGCUGGUGGACUGCAACUGACGUUGAGGCCCGAAAGCGGGGGGAGCAAAAAGGAUUAGAUACCCCGGUAGUC
rnacentral:rRNA from 1 species